GACGUAGGGCGCGAGCGUUGUCCGGAUUUAUUGGGCGUAAAGAGCUCGUAGGCGGCUUGUCGCGUCGACUGUGAAAUCCCGCGGCUCAACUGCGGGUCUGCAGUCGAUACGGGCAGGCUAGAGUUCGGUAGGGGAGACUGGAAUUCCUGGUGUAGCGGUGAAAUGCGCAGAUAUCAGGAGGAACACCGAUGGCGAAGGCAGAUCUCUGGGCCGUUACUGACGCUGAGGAGCGAAAGCGUGGGGAGCGAACAGG
rnacentral:rRNA from 1 species